AUUGAACGCUGGCGGCAGGCCUAACACAUGCAAGUCGAACGAGUGGCGGACGGGUGAGUAAUGUCUGGGAAACUGCCUGAUGGAGGGGGAUAACUACUGGAAACGGUAGUUAAUACCUCAUACCAUCAGAUGUUCCCAGAUGGGCGUAGCUAGUUGGUGGGGUAACGGCGCACCAAGGCGACGAUCCCUAGCUGGUCUGAGAGGAUGACCAGGCACAAUGGAACUGAGAAACGGUCCAGACUCCUAAGGGAGGCAGCAGUGGGGAAUAUUGCACAAUGGGCGCAAGCCUGAUGCAGCCAUGCCGCGUGUAUGAAGAAGGCCUUCGGGUUGUAAAGUACGUUCAGCGGGGAGGCGUUACCCGCAGAAGAAGCACCGGCUAACUCCGUGCCAGCAGCCGCGGUAAUUC
rnacentral:rRNA from 1 species